rnacentral:rRNA from 1 species
GACGAACGCUGGCGGCGUGCUUAACACAUGCAAGUCGAACGGAAAGGCCCUGCUUUUGUGGGGUGCUCGAGUGGCGAACGGGUGAGUAACACGUGAGUAACCUGCCCUUGACUUUGGGAUAACUUCAGGAAACUGGGGCUAAUACCGGAUAGGAGCUCCUGCUGCAUGGUGGGGGUUGGAAAGUUUCGGCGGUUGGGGAUGGACUCGCGGCUUAUCAGCUUGUUGGUGGGGUAGUGGCUUACCAAGGCUUUGACGGGUAGCCGGCCUGAGAGGGUGACCGGGCACAUUGGGACUGAGAUACGGCCCAGACUCCUACGGGAGGCAGCGGUGGGGAAUAUUGCACAGUGGGCGGAAGCCUGAUGCAGCAACGCCGCGUGCGGAAUAACGGCCUUCGGGUUGUAAACCGCUUUCGCAUGUGACGAAGCGUGAGUGACGGUAAUGGGUAAAGAAGCACCGGCUAACUACGUG